rnacentral:rRNA from 1 species
UGGGGAAUAUUGGACAAUGGGCGGAAGCCUGAUCCAGCAAUGCCGCGUGUGUGAAGAAGGCCUUAGGGUUGUAAAGCACUUUCAGAGGUGAGGAAGUGAUGUGGGCUAAUACCCUGCAUUGUUGACGUUAGCUUAAGAAGAAGCACCGGCUAACUCUGUGCCAGCAGCCGCGGUAAUACAGAGGGUGCAAGCGUUAAUCGGAAUUACUGGGCGUAAAGGGUGUGUAGGUUGUUGAAGUAAGUCAGGUGUAAAACCCCCGGGCUUAACCUGGGAAAGUCGCUUGAUACUGCUUAGCUAGAGUACUAUAGAGGAUAGUGGAAUUUCCAGUGUAGCGGUGAAAUGCGUAGAUAUUGGAAGGAACAUCAGUGGCGAAGGCGACUGUCUGGAUAGAUACUGACACUGAAACACGAAAGCAUGGGUAGCAAACAGG